GUUGAACGCUGGCGGCGUGCUUUACACAUGCAAGUCGAACGAAGCACUGCCUUCGAUUUCCUUCGGGUCUGAUAAUGUUGAGAAUGAGUGGCGGACGGGUGAGUAACGCGUGGAUAACGAGCCUUGUACAGGGGUAAAACCGCAGGCAACGGAUGCUAAUAACGCAUAAGCGCCAAGGAUCGCAUGAUGCAGUGCGGACAAGUCCGGUGGUAUAAGAUGGACGCGCGAUGGCUUAGCUAGCUGGCGAGGUAACGGCGCACCAAGGGGACGAUCCAUAGCCUAGGAGUGAGAGUGGCCCGCCACUUUGGCACUGAGACGCGGUCCGGACUCCUGCGGGAUGCGGCAGUGGGUAAUAUUGCACAAUCGGCUACAGGCUGAUGCAGCUACGGUGCGUGAGUGAAGAAGUAUGGCGGUAAGUAACGCUCUAUAAUCAGGGAAGGUCAUGACGGUACCGUACGAAUAAGCACCGGCUAAAUACGUG
rnacentral:rRNA from 1 species